UACGUAGGGUGCAGGCGUUAAUCGGAAUUACUGGGCGUAAAGCGUGCGCAGGCGGUUGUGCAAGACCGAUGUGAAAUCCCCGGGCUUAACCUGGGAAUGGCAUUGGUGACUGCACGGCUAGAGUGUGUCAGAGGGGGGUAGAAUUCCACGUGUAGCAGUGAAAUGCGUAGAGAUGUGGACGGAAUACCGAUGGCGAAGGCAGCCCCCUGGGAUAACACUGACGGCUCAUGCAACGAAAGCGUGGGGAGCAAACAGG
rnacentral:rRNA from 1 species